AUAGCGUAUAUUAAAGUUGUUGCAGUUAAAAAGCUCGUAGUUGAACUUCAGACCUGGCCGGGCGGUCAGCUUAACGGCGUGUACUGUCUGGCUGGGCCUUACCUCUUGGUGAACCAUUGUGCCCUUUAUUGGUGUGCUUUGGGGAACCAGGACUUUUACCUUGAGAAAAUUAGAGUGUUCAAAGCAGGCCUAUGCCUGGAUACAUUAGCAUGGAAUAAUAGAAUAGGACGUGUGGUUCUAUUUUGUUGGUUUCUAGAAUCGCCGUAAUGAUUAAUAGGGAUAGUUGGGGGCAUUGGUAUUCAGUCGCUAGAGGUGAAAUUCUUGGAUUGACUGAAGACCGACUAUUG
rnacentral:rRNA from 1 species